CCUCUGUCCAUGGGAUUUCCCAGGCAAGAAUACUGGAGUGGGUUGCCAUUUCCUAUUCCAGGGGAUCUUCCCGACCCCGGGAUCAGAUCUGUGUCUCCUGCAUUGGCAGGCAGGUUCUUCGCCACUGAGCCACCAGGGAAGCCCACUGUUACAUACUAUGCACUCCUUUACUUUAGCAUUUCCUGUAAUACUGAUGAUGACCUGGCUUCCUGUGGGCCAGGUGAUGUGUAUUACAUAACUGGCUGUUUUCUCAUUUCACUCUGACUGCCAAGAAGCUCUGAGAAAUUUGUGGCUCAGCAUUAGUAACUGGAAGGACUCUUGACUUGCAUGUCUACAUUCUGUUGGUUUGAAAAUUUUCAAAAUUAAAAGCUGGGGGAAAUCUAAAUUCUUCUGCAUUUUCUAGAUUAUUGAUAUUAUACAUUUGUUUUAUAAUUAGAAAAAGUAAACCUUGUUUUUAAAAGAAAGGUUGCAUCUUUGCAUGCUUUCU
ensembl:lncRNA